rnacentral:lncRNA from 1 species
CCUUUGCCCAGCACACCUGUCACUCACCUCAACCCUUUCUCUCUUUUCCCCAUCUUUCUGUGGCUAGCUCCUCCUCAUUCUUUAGGUCUCAGUGUAGAUAGCACCACUAUCAGGAAGGAGUCCAGACACUGCCAGGCCUAAGGCUUCCAGAUACAGCCCUCUAGGUCAUCCAGAGGUGCCAGCCAGCCCUCACCAGUGGUCAGCUUUUCCUCAGUGGAGUGGUCAGCAGUCCAACUACCAGGGCCAGAGCCCCAUCAAAGAAUCUUCAGUGCCAGCCAGAAAGAAUGAUGAACUCCUCGUGUAAAGGGAGUUUGGGGCAACCAGUCAAACCAUGGCCUCAUGGGAAGCAGCUGACUAGGCAAUGAGAGAGGAAUACAAAAGACAAGGCACUGCGAAGCCAAGUCUGGUUGGGGAGAAGAAACCAAUAUGCCUGAAACAGGGAACCAGAAAGGACUCAGACAAAACUGCUGACAAGUAUGGGGUUUCUUGGGGUAGGUGGUGAAAAUAUUCCAAAAUAAGAUUAUAGCGAUGUUUUAAUAAUCCCCUGGAUAUAAUAAAAAAACAUCGAAUUGUACACU